AUUGAACGCUGGCGGCAUGCUUUACACAUGCAAGUCGAACGGUAACAGGCCGCAAGGUGCUGACGAGUGGCGAACGGGAGAGUAAUGCAUCGGAACGUGCCCAGUCGUGGGGGAUAACGCAGCGAAAGCUGCGCUAAUACCGAAUAAGAUCUAUGGAUGAAAGCGGGGGACCGUAAGGCAUCGCGCGAUUGGAGCGGCCGAUGUCAGAUUAGGUAGUUGGUGGGGUAAAGGCUCACCAAGCCAACGAUCUGUAGCUGGUCUGAGAGGACGACCAGCCACACUGGGACUGAGACACGGCCCAGACUCCUAUGGGAGGCAGCAGUGGGGAAGUUUGGACAAUGGGCGCAAGCCUGAUCCAGCAAUGCCGCGUGCAGGAAGAAGGCCUUCGGGUUGUAAACUGCUUUUGUACGGAACGAAACGGCUCUGGUUAAUACCUGGGGCUAAUGACGGUACCGUAAGAAUAAGCACCGGCUAACUGCGUGCCAGCAGCCGCCGCCGUAA
rnacentral:rRNA from 1 species